rnacentral:pre_miRNA from 14 species
GUUUGAGCACCUGAAAGACCCCUGGAGCAGGGAGACCCUCACUCAAGUCUCGGGAUGAUGCGACCCCCCAAGAACUCACGUGAGACC